ACUUGUCUGUUCCCCCAGGCUAAAUUUGCUCCCUGAUGAUACUCUCAAACCAUCCAGGAGCAGAUUGGAAAUCUUCCCUUGCUUUCAGGAACCAAGGGUCAGUAGGUUCCUUCUACUCCCUGGUGCCAAGCUGCUGUAGUCACACAUCGAAGCAAUAAAGCUCAUUUGCAGGAAAAAAGUUACACAGAAUAUAAACACCACUUCUGGAAAAGUAAAUAUGGAUUAGAAAACCACUGAUGUCUGGGGACAAGUCAGCACCUCCUAUGCAGAGUUUGACAAAGAAAUU